rnacentral:lncRNA from 1 species
GUCAUAGCCAUGUCUAACUCUUGAUAGUACUCCUCCACACUCCUUGAUCCUUGAGUUAUGUCUUGCAACUUAUUGAACAAGUCUCUAUAGUAAUGAGGGGGCACAAAUCUCUUCUUCAUUACUGCCUUCAUGUCCUCCUAAGUGCCAAUAGGUUGUUCCCUAUUUCUCAUUCUAGAGACAUUCAACUUAUCCCAACAAGUUAGUGCAUGACCUUGGAAUUCAAGAGAUGCAAGUUUUACCUUUUUUUCUUCCGAGUAAUUGUGGAUUGAAAAGACUUUUUCCACCUUUGCUUCCCAUUCCAAGUAUGAUUCGGGAUCAUUUCUGCCUUAAAA